GCCCAGGUGCAGUGGCACAUGCCUGUAGUCACAGCUAAUUGGGAGGCUGAGGUGGGAGGAUGGCUUGAGCCUGGGAGCUCUGGGCUCUAGUGCCCUAUGCCAAUUGGGUGUCCGCACUAAGUUUAAUAUAUCAAUAUGACGACCUCUCAGGAGCAGGGGAUGGCUGAGUUAUCUAAGGAGGGGUGAACUGACCCAAGUUGAAAAUGGAGCAGGUCAAAACUCCCACACUGAUUAGUAGCGGGAUUGUGCCUAUGAAUAGCCAUGACACUCCAGUCUGGGCAACCUAGUGAGACCCUGUUUCU
rnacentral:SRP_RNA from 1 species